rnacentral:rRNA from 1 species
GUCUCCGGCUAUACCAUCCUGAAUGUCCCUGAUCCACUCAGAACUUGAAAGUGAAGCAGAGUCUAGCCUGGUUAUUACUUGGAUGGGAGAUGAUUAAGUAAUUUGCAUGGGCCAGUCC